rnacentral:rRNA from 1 species
UACGGGGGGGGCAAGCGUUGUUCGGAAUUACUGGGCGUAAAGGGCGCGUAGGCGGCCUGCUAAGUCGGACGUGAAAUCCCUCGGCUCAACCGGGGAACUGCGUCCGAUACUGGCGAGGCUUGAAUCCGGGAGAGGGAUGUGGAAUUCCAGGUGUAGCGGUGAAAUGCGUAGAUAUCAGGAGGAACACCGGUGGCGAAGGCGGGUCUCUGGGCCGAUACUGACGCUGAGGAGCGAAAGCGUGGGGAGCGAACAGG